rnacentral:rRNA from 1 species
AGGAAUGCUUAGGAAUCUGCCUAUUAGUGGGGGACAACAUUCCGAAAGGGAUGCUAAUACCGCAUACGUCCUACGGGAGAAAGCAGGGGAUCUUCGGACCUUGCGCUAAUAGAUGAGCCUAAGUCGGAUUAGCUAGUUGGUGGGGUAAAGGCCUACCAAGGCGACGAUCUGUAGCGGGUCUGAGAGGAUGAUCCGCCACACUGGGACUGAGACACGGCCCAGACUCCUACGGGAGGCAGCAGUGGGGAAUAUUGGACAAUGGGGGGAACCCUGAUCCAGCCAUGCCGCGUGUGUGAAGAAGGCCUUAUGGUUGUAAAGCACUUUAAGCGAGGAGGAGGCUACUGAGACUAAUACUCUUGGAUAGUGGACGUUACUCGCAGAAUAAGCACCGGCUAACUCUGUGCCAGCAGCCGCGGUAAUACAGAGGGUGCGAGCGUUAAUCGGAUUUACUGGGCGUAAAGCGUGCGUAGGCGGCUUUUUAAGUCGGAUGUGAAAUCCCCGAGCUUAACUUGGGAAUUGCAUUCGAUACUGGGAAGCUAGAGUAUGGGAGAGGAUGGUAGAAUUCCAGGUGUA